CCUACGGGUGGCAGCAGUGGGGAAUAUUGCACAAUGGGGGAAACCCUGAUGCAGCGACGCCGCGUGAGUGAAGAAGUAUUUCGGUAUGUAAAGCUCUAUCAGCAGGGAAGAAAAACGACGGUACCUGACUCAGAAGCCCCGGCCACCUACGUGCCAGCAGCGCCGGUAAAACGGAGGGGGCAAGCGUUAUCCGGAUUUACAGGGGGUAAAGGGAGAGUAGACGGAGAAGCAAGUCUGAAGGGAAAGCCCGUGGCUUAACCACGGGACUGCUUUGGAAACUGUUGGACUAGAGUGCGGGAGAAGUAAGUGGAAUUCCUAGUGUAGCGGUGAAAUGCGUAGAUAUUAGGAGGAACACCAGUGGCGAAGGCAGCUUACUGGACAGUAACUGACGUUGAGGCUCGAAAGCGUGGGGAGCAAACAGGAUUAGAUACCCUAGUAGUC
rnacentral:rRNA from 1 species